rnacentral:rRNA from 1 species
UAAUACCAGCUCCCCGAGUGGUGGGGACGAUUAUUGGGCCUAAAGCGUCCGUAGCCGGCUCGGCAAGUCUUCCGUCAAAUCCAACGAUCUAAUCGUUGGGCUGCGGGAGAUACUGCAGGGCUAGGGGGCGGGAGAAGCCGACGGUACUCCCGGGGUAGGGGUGAAAUCCUAUAAUCCCAGGAGGACCACCAGUGGCGAAGGCGGUCGGCUAGAACGCGCCCGACGGUGAGGGACGAAAGCGGGGGGAGCGAUCCGGAUUAGAUACCCGGGUAGUCCCAGCUGUAAACGAUGCAGGCUAGGUGUUGGUGCGACUACGGGUCACGCCAGUGCCGCAGGGAAGCCGUUAAGCCUGCCGCCUGGGUAGUACGGUCGCAAGACUG